AACGAACGCUGGCGGCAGGCUUAACACAUGCAAGUCGAACGCGUGUAGCAAUACACGAGUGGCGCACGGGUGAGUAACGCGUGGAUAUCUGCCUUUUGGUUCGGAAUAACCCCGGGAAACUGGGGCUAAUACCGGAUGGUUCCUUCGGGAUAAAGAUUUAUCGCCAAAAAGAUGAGUCCGCGUACGAUUAGCUAGUUGGUGAGGUAAUGGCUCACCAAGGCGACGAUCGUUAGCUGGUCGAGAGGACGAUCAGCCACACUGGGACUGAGACACGGCCCAGACUCCUACGGGAGGCAGCAGUGGGGAAUAUUGGACAAGUGGGGGCAACCCUGAUCCAGCCAUGCCGCGUGAGUGAUGAAGG
rnacentral:rRNA from 1 species